UACGUAGGGACCAAGCGUUGUCCGGAAUCAUUGGGCGUAAAGCGCGCGUAGGUGGCUUCGUAAGUCCGUUGUGAAAGUCAAAGGCUCAACCUUUGAAAGCCGAUGGAUACUGCGAAGCUAGAGUACGGAAGAGGCGAGUGGAAUUCCUGGUGUAGCGGUGGAAUGCGCAGAUAUCAGGAGGAACACCAAUAGCGAAGGCAGCUCGCUGGGACGUUACUGACACUGAGGCGCGAAAGCGUGGGGAGCGAACAGGG
rnacentral:rRNA from 1 species